ensembl:snoRNA SNORA70 Small nucleolar RNA SNORA70
AGGCAAGAAAUGUUAAUUAUCUAAAGGUGUUAAGAGAAGCAUGGUUCUCAUGGCUCCCGGUGUGCAGUGGCUGCAAACAGCAGCCUCUUGGGUAGUAUAUGCAGCCUGUUGCUUGUAUAGGCUGCCCUAAGGGACCCUGGAGACAGCC